UACAGAGGGUCCGAGCGUUAAUCGGAGUUACUGGGCGUAAAGGGCGCGUAGGCGGUAGGAUGUGAAUGAUGUGAAAGCCCUGGGCUUAACCUAGGAAGUGCAUCGUUAACUAUUUUACUGGAGUAUAAGAGAGGGUGGCGGAAUUUCCGGUGUAGCGGUGAAAUGCGUAGAGAUCGGAAGGAACGUCGAUGGCGAAGGCAGCCACCUGGCUUAAUACUGACGCUGAGGCGCGAAAGCGUGGGGAGCGAACAGG
rnacentral:rRNA from 1 species